rnacentral:rRNA from 1 species
AACGAACGCUGGCGGCAUGCCUAACACAUGCAAGUCGAACGAGACCUUCGGGUCUAGUGGCGCACGGGUGCGUAACGCGUGGGAACCUGCCCUUAGGUUCGGAAUAACUCCCCGAAAGGGGUGCUAAUACCGGAUAAUGUCUUCGGACCAAAGAUUUAUCGCCUUUGGAUGGGCCCGCGUUGGAUUAGCUAGUUGGUAGGGUAAAAGCCUACCAAGGCGACGAUCCAUAGCUGGUCUGAGAGGAUGAUCAACCACACUGGGACUGAGACACGGCCCAGACUCCUACGGGAGGCAGCAGUGGGGAAUAUUGGACAAUGGGCGAAAGCCUGAUCCAGCAAUGCCGGGUGAGUGAUGAAGGCCUUAGGGUUGUAAAGCUCUUUUACCCGGGAUGAUAAUGACAGUACCGGGAGAAUAAGCGCCGGCUAACUCCGUG